rnacentral:rRNA from 1 species
UGGGGGAUAUUGCACAAUGGGCGAAAGCCUGAUGCAGCGACGCCGCGUGGGGGAUGAAGGCUUUCGGGUUGUAAACCUCUUUCGCUAUCGAACAAGGCCCGCUUAGGGUGGGUUGAGGGUAGGUGGAGAAGAAGCGCCGGCUAACUACGUGCCAGCAGCCGCGGUAAUACGUAGGGCGCGAGCGUUGUCCGGAAUUAUUGGGCGUAAAGGGCUUGUAGGCGGCUUGUUGCGCCUGCUGUGAAAACGCGGGGCUUAACUUCGCGCGUGCAGUGGGUACGGGCAGGCUUGAGUGUGGUAGGGGUGACUGGAAUUCCAGGUGUAGCGGUGGAAUGCGCAGAUAUCUGGAGGAACACCGAUGGCGAAGGCAGGUCACUGGGCCAUUACUGACGCUGAGGAGCGAAAGCAUGGGUAGCGA